rnacentral:tRNA from 1 species
UGGCACAGUGGUAAAGCGCUUGGCUGCUAACUAAAAGGUCGGUGGUUCAAACCCACC